rnacentral:siRNA from 1 species
UCUCCGAGAAUCUUGUUUGCUGAG